rnacentral:rRNA from 1 species
UUGAACGCUGGCGGCAGGCCUAACACAUGCAAGUCGAACGGUAACAGGAAGCAGCUUGCUGCUUCGCUGACGAGUGGCGGACGGGUGAGUAAUGUCUGGGAAGCUGCCUGAUGGAGGGGGAUAACUACUGGAAACGGUAGCUAAUACCGCAUAAUGUCGCAAGACCAAAGAGGGGGACCUUCGGGCCUCUUGCCAUCGGAUGUGCCCAGAUGGGAUUAGCUUGUUGGUGGGGUAACGGCUCACCAAGGCGACGAUCCCUAGCUGGUCUGAGAGGAUGACCAGCCACACUGGAACUGAGACACGGUCCAGACUCCUACGGGAGGCAGCAGUGGGGAAUAUUGCACAAUGGGCGCAAGCCUGAUGCAGCCAUGCCGCGUGUAUGAAGAAGGCCUUCGGGUUGUAAAGUACUUUCAGCGGGGAGGAAGGGAGUAAAGUUAAUACCUUGGCUCAUUGACGUUACCCGCAGAAGAAGCACCGGCUAACUCCGUG